rnacentral:rRNA from 1 species
GUGGGGUAAUGGCCUACCAAGGCGACGACGGGUAGCCGGCCUGAGAGGGUGAUCGGCCACACUGGGACUGAGACACGGCCCAGACUCCUACGGGAGGCAGCAGUGGGGAAUAUUGCACAAUGGGCGAAAGCCUGAUGCAGCGACGCCGCGUGGGGGAUGACGGUCUUCGGAUUGUAAACCCCUUUCAGUAGGGACGAAGCGCAAGUGACGGUACCUGCAGAAGAAGCACCGGCUAACUACGUGCCAGCAGCCGCGGUAAUACGUAGGGUGCGAGCGUUGUCCGGAAUUACUGGGCGUAAAGAGCUCGUAGGCGGUUUGUCACGUCGUCUGUGAAAUCCCUCGGCUUAACCGGGGGCGUGCAGGCGAUACGGGCAGACUUGAGUACUACAGGGGAGACUGGAAUUCCUGGUGUAGCGGUGAAAUGCGCAGAUAUCAGGAGGAACACCGGUGGCGAAGGCGGGUCUCUGGGUAGUAACUGACGCUGAGGAGCGAAAGCAUGGGUAGCGAACAGGAUUAGAUACCCUGGUAGUCCAUGCCGUAAACGGUGGGCGCUAGGUGUGGGGUCCUUCCACGGACUCCGUGCCGUAGCUAACGCAUUAAGCG